ACACGGGAUGAAUGAAGUCGAAUCGCUUGGGACUCUUCUGCUGGAACGCGUGGAUGAGCUGGGAAGAAACAGGGGAGACGGAAGGACGCUGAUGAGAUGCCACGAUGCUUGGGAGAUCCACGGUCGGUUGGGAAGAUGAGAUUGGAGCGUUGUCUAUUCGUUGGAAGCCACGGUAGAUGGGAUGAAGAAAACUGUUGGGAGAGCUCUCCCUCUUGUGAGGAUUGCAUUAAAGGUGAAAUGCAUUGGGUGUUGCUUCACGGAUGAAAUGUUGCAUCUGGAAGGUGGAUGCAUGGGACGAGCGAACAAGAUUGCAUUUGGAUUUUCCAUGCAGGCGUGGAAUACGCGGGGGCAAUAUGAAUGAGCUGGGAUCUCCACGACGCUAAGGAUUUGUUGAGCUCGGAACGCCAGGCAUUGGGCUCAAACCCAGCGUUAUUGGGUCUUUUGAAUUACUUGCACUCAGAUACAAAUAAAACAUUAAUUUAAUCAAUUUUAUUAAUAAAGAUUAGCUCUAAUACUAAUUAAGAUAGUAUGAAAAUUUUGCUUUUGUACUCUCAUCACACCCCCCAACUAGCUUAUUGCUAGUCUCUAGCAAUUUAGUGUGAAAAUGAUAAAAUGAGGGUGCAAAAGUAUUGUUUAUUUUAUUAAUAUAUAUCAAUAUGCAUGAAUUAAAAUAAUUACUCACUUUCGUAGAGCAUUACGAUUGCACUUAGCACGUGCAACAAGCCGUUAAACCCCUAGGUUAUCCUAGUGGACGAGUGUUGUCUCGUGAGGGUUUGCAGUGAUGAUACCCACAAACAUCAUUUUAAAAGAUACUCUAAAACAUAGCAACCAUUAAUGUAAAUGUGACGUCUUAGAAUACCUAUACCCCCAC
rnacentral:lncRNA from 1 species